UACAGAGGUCUCAAGCGUUGUUCGGAUUCAUUGGGCGUAAAGGGUGUGUAGGUGGCGCCGUAAGUCGGGUGUGAAAUUUCGGAGCUUAACUCCGAAACUGCAUUCGAUACUGCGGUGCUUGAGGACUGGAGAGGAGACUGGAAUUCAUGGUGUAGCAGUGAAAUGCGUAGAGAUCAUGAGGAAGACCAGUGGCGAAGGCGGGUCUCUGGACAGUUCCUGACACUGAGACACGAAGGCCAGGGGGAGCAAA
rnacentral:rRNA from 1 species